GUGCUUACUUUGGCAGCACUGGAUACUAACAUUGGAGUGGCACAGAGAAGAUUAGCAUGUCCCUCCAGCAAGGAUGGCACGCAGAUUAAUCCCUUUUAUU
rnacentral:snRNA from 1 species